GCGCGGCUACCAUGCAGUCGAGCGGUAACACGAAGACUUGCUACUUUGCUGAGGAGCGGCGGACGGGUGAGAAAUGCUUGGGAACAUGCCUUGAGGAGGGGGACAACAGRUGGAAACGACUGCUAAUACCGCAUAAUGUCUACGGACCAGGGGGGGCUUCAGCUCUCGCCUUUAGAUUGGCCCAAGUGGGAUUAGCUAGUUGGUGAGGUAAUGGCUCACCAAGGCGACGAUCCCUAGCUGGUUUGAGAGGAUGAUCAGCCACACUGGGACUGAGACACGGCCCAGACUCCUACGGGAGGCAGCAGUGGGGAAUAUUGCACAAUGGGCGCAAGCCUGAUGCAGCCAUGCCGCGUGUGUGAAGAAGGCCUUCGGGUUGUAAAGCACUUUCAGUCAGGAGGAAAGGUUAGUAGUUAAUACCUGCUAGCUGUGACGUUACUGACAGAAGAAGCACCGGCUAACUCCGUGCCAGCAGCCGCGGUAAUACGGAGGGUGCGAGCGUUAAUCGGAAUUACUGGGCGUAAAGCGUACGCAGGCGGUUUGUUAAGCGAGAUGUGAAAGCCCCGGGCUCAACCUGGGAACUGCAUUUCGAACUGGCAAACUAGAGUGUGAUAGAGGGUGGUAGAAUUUCAGGUGUAGCGGUGAAAUGCGUAGAGAUCUGAAGGAAUACCGAUGGCGAAGGCAGCCACCUGGGUCAACACUGACGCUCAUGUCCGAAAGCGUGGGGAGCAAACAGGAUUAAAUACCCU
rnacentral:rRNA from 1 species